UACGGAGGAUCCAAGCGUUAUCCGGAAUCAUUGGGUUUAAAGGGUCCGUAGGCGGUUUUGUAAGUCAGUGGUGAAAGCCCAUCGCUCAACGGUGGAACGGCCAUUGAUACUGCAAGACUUGAAUUAUUGGGAAGUAACUAGAAUAUGUAGUGUAGCGGUGAAAUGCUUAGAGAUUACAUGGAAUACCAAUUGCGAAGGCAGGUUACUACCAACAUAUUGACGCUGAUGGACGAAAGCGUGGGGAGCGAACAGG
rnacentral:rRNA from 1 species